rnacentral:SRP_RNA from 1 species
GCCAGGCGUUUUGCCACACACCUGUAGUCCCAGCUACUCAGGAGGCUGAGGCGGGAGGAUCACUUGAGCCCAGGAGGUCCAGGCUGCAGUGAGCUAUGAUCACACCACUGCACUCCAGCCUGAGUGACAGAGUGAGACCUUGUCUCUU